AAGGCCCAAAGGAACCCUGUCCAAGAAGC
rnacentral:piRNA from 1 species